GGAAGCGUUUCGUCACCGGUGUGGCGCCUGGUCUUCAAAACCAGUGUGUGGGCUAAUCCUCACAGGUAGGUUCGACUCCUAUACGCUUCC
rnacentral:tRNA from 1 species